rnacentral:rRNA from 1 species
CACGUAGGGUGCGAGCGUUGUCCGGAAUUAUUGGGCGUAAAGAGCUCGUAGGCGGUGUGUCGCGUCGGCCGUGAAAACUUGGGGCUUAACUCUGAGCGUGCGGUCGAUACGGGCAUCACUUGAGUUCGGCAGGGGAGACUGGAAUUCCUGGUGUAGCGGUGAAAUGCGCAGAUAUCAGGAGGAACACCGGUGGCGAAGGCGGUUCUCUGGGCAUGUCCUGACGCUGGAGGAGCGAAAGCAUGGGGAGCGAACAGG